UUGCAACGACCGGAAUCAGGGUUCUCGUCUCCGGACGAUACGAUGGCUCGGAGGUCCUCCUCCUCGAGCUGCCACCGGUACCUCCACUCCGCCUACUACCUUAGGCACCCGAUGCGGCUCGCCUUCGUCUUCGUCAUCUUCGUUAUUGCCAUCUGGGAUUGGCCUUCCCUACCUAAUCCGGGAGCAUGAGAUUUGAAGUUCUCGGUAAUUGGAUCAUCUUAUAUUGCUUGCCUAUAAAAACCUACACACCAGAUUUCUUUACCUUUAAUGAGAAAAAAAAGAAGAAAAAGGCUGGAACAAGAACGGUCUAUCUGUGGAGCCAUCAUUUCUUCUAUGUUGGUUGGAACUGGAGAGCCCCUUAACUUUUCUGGUAAGCAUUGCAACCAUCGUCUUGAAAAUUGGAGAACAUGUUAUUUGGGGAUGCAAAAGGCAUGAUUUCAGUUCAAUAAAUUGAUAAAGUGGCUCCUUUGCAAUGUGUGAACUCCUCUACCAGAAACACAUUUCAAGAUUUAAGAGGACCGAUUGCACGAUCAUGUAAAAUUCAAUGUUUAUGUAUUCGUCUAUCGUUCCUUUAGUUUAGUGAUGUUUGAAGGUUGCUCUACUGAUGUUUCCCUGUGGCUACAGAAAGUAGAGGGGUGGUGGUCAUGCGGGGCGAAGUUUCCUCUGGUACAAAUGACAAACUUAUCGAUGAAUUUGAUCUUGUUAACAAUCAACGCAGAGAAAAGGUUAAGGCGACUACGCUUCUUUCUGGUUUGUUUUGAAUACAAUAGCCUCUCAAGGCUAUAGUUUCAUUUUUAUUUAUGAACUAACUUCUUUUCUUGGCUUUUCAAUCUUAAGAUUCAAUUGUAAUUACGUGAUGUCUUUCCCUCUAUGACCGGUCGCAAUCAAAGAGUGGUGUGAAUAGUUUUUGUGGUCUUGGAGCAACCCUUGUGGACUCUCUCCAUGCACUAUGUUGGGGUUCUUUUUAACAUAUCAAAUAUGGAUCAAAUAAUUGUUUUAUAGAAUCAAAACCGAAUAGAUCCAAAAUAAUGGAUUAAGAAUGUUUCCAUAAAACUUAUUUAAUCCACUAUAAUAUGUAUGAAAUCCUACAAUAAUUGAUAAACAUAUUAACACGGAAGCGUACCUGAUGAAUCCAUUAGAGUAUUUUCUGAAUUGAUUGGUGAUUUGGUCUUCCAAUUGCAGAGUACCUUUUGAACUUUAGAUUUCUCCUUGACGGGUGAAGAGAAACUUCAUUCGAUACUGCAACCGGGGACCAUAACCUUAUUUAUAGUCAUAACUGAUGAAUCUACAAUUAUGAUUGUAUUCAUAAUUGAUGAAUCUGCAAUUAUGCCUCAAGAGUUUCAUAUUCCUAACUUAUCUCGUCAUUAAGUUAGGAACAUGAUGGUAUCCACACAAUUAAUUUUCAUAACAAUUAUGUCCCUUAGCCAAAUAACUUUACUUUAAUUGGAUCACUUUAAUUUUGGCUAAUCAAAAUAAUGGCUUAACACAUUUAAUUAUACAUGUGUGACCCUUAAAAUUCCAACAAUCUCCCACUGAGUCACAUAUGUAUCCUUAUAAAUGUGUUAUACUUUAUGAGCUCAAAACUGUUGCCAUUAUUAAACAGGACAUACAAAACAAUCUCGUCCAUUGACCAUAUUAAUAUAGGACCAAAGCGAUUUUCGCUAUAUCAAUCAUAGCUAAACCCAUCAAUGAUCACUAAUAUUAACAUAACCAAAUGACAUAGAUCAAUUAUGAAAUGUGUAGCAUGAAAAUUACAUGAAUGUGAUCUGUACAUGUCAAUUUUCAACUGGUCCAACUUUAUCUUUAUGAGAUCAUUAAUAACUUUAAUAGCCAUAAUGUACAAAGUAUAAUAAACUGAAGCUUUAUUUCUGAUCAGAAAAUGUCUGUACAAAUACAGUAUCUGGCAUAGAACAUACAACAAACAUAUGACAGGCUCCCACUAAACUGAAGUUUCCUCAAAUUCUGAUAUACCCAUAUGAGCAGUAUGCUCAUGAAAAACCUUGAGUGGUACAUCUUUUGUGAGAGGAUCUGCCAUAAAGUUUGUUCCUAAGUGUUCUAUAGAAAUUUAUUUACUUUGUACCUUUUCUUUCACAACUAGGAACUUGAUGUCAAUGUGCUUUGACUUAGUCGAGCUCCUAUUGUUAUUAGAGUAUAAAACACCUGAUUUAUUGUCAUAGUAUAUCUUUAGUGGUCUUUCAAUCCCUUAUACUAUUUGCAGCUCUGUGACAAAAUUUCUCAGCCAAAUUCCAUGGUUGGAUGCCUCAAAACAUGCUACAAAUUCCGCUGCCAUAGUGGAAGAAGCAAUAAGAGAUUGCUUGGCACUACGCCAAGAAAUCGCCCCACCAGCCAACAUAUAAAUGUAGCCCGAAGUGAAUUUUCUACUGUCUUGGCAUCCAACAAAAUCGGAGUCAGAAUACCCAAUGAUCUCCAAAUGGUCUGAUCUCCUAUAUGUGAGCAUAUGAUCUUUUGUCCUCUUUAAAUAUCUCAUGACUCUUUUAGCUACCUUCCAGUGAUCCAUUCCAGGAUUGCUUAAGUAUCUACCUAACACUCCAACAAUGUACGCUAUAUCCGGAUACAUACAAAUCUGUGCAUAUAUUAGACUUCCUACAGUUGAUGCAUGGGGAAUCUUAUGCAUUUCUUAAGUUUCCAAAUUUCUUUUAGGAUACUGAUUGAGGUUUUUCAUGUAUUAGAUACAUGUAUCCAUAUCUAGAGUAAUCGUCUAUGAAUGAUAUGAAGUAUUGUUGACCAUUCCAUGAAGGUGUAGGAAAUGGUCCACAAAUAUCUGUAUGUAUCAAUUCUAAGACGUCCGUAGCUCUAUAUGCACCUGAUCUCUUAGGUUUGGUUUGUUUACCUUUAAUGCAUUCAACACAAACAUCUAGACCUGAUAAGUCAAUGGGAUCAAGAAUCCCAUCUGACACAAGUCUUUCAACUCUAUUUCUAGAGAUAUGACCCAAACGUUUAUGCCAUAAUAUACCAGAAUUUUCAAUUUUACAUUUAGUACCUCGCAAUUCCGCAUUCAAGGUUUCAUGAUAGGAUGCUAUAGUAUCAAGUAAAUAUAGAUUGUCAUAAGUCAUAAGUGAACCAGUUCCAAUCAUAUUUGAAUUUAAAGACAAAGUAAACUGAUUGUUUCUAAAUGAACAAGAAUAACCAGAUUUGUCCAAAUAAGAAACAGAAAUUAAGUUUCGUCUAACCAACGGUAUAACAAAAGUGUCUUUUAAAUUCAAAUAAUAUCCAGUACACAAUAACAAUCUAAAUGUGCCUAUAGCUUCCACAUCUACCGAUUUUCCGUCCCCCACAUAAAUGCUUCUCUCAGCAUUAUUAGGCCUUCGGUAGCUUAGGCAACCUUGCAUUGAUACACUGAUGUUAGUUGUUGCACUGGAGUCUAACCACCAAAUGUUUCUAGGUACUGAAGUUAAAUUGAUUUCUGAACAAACCAAAGUAAGGAAUAUUCCCUUUUUAGCAUGCCAAGUAUGAUAUUUAGCACAGUCCUUCUUUAAAUGCCCAGAUUUCUUGCAGAAGAAACAAGUAUCAUCAUUAUUUUGUUUCUUCUGUACUGGGUCCUUAUCAGCCACAUUCUUUCCAUAUUUGUAUUUUCUUUUCUUGCCCUUAAAGUUGGUUUCGUUUAAAACCAGUACUGAAUUGAGGUUAGCAGAUAAUUUUAUAAGAGAACCUAAAUAAGAGAACAACAGAUAAUCAGAAAUUAUGCUCAUAUUUAUUACCAUAAACUUAAGUAAAUUUAAAUAAUGAUUUAACCCAUCUCAAGAUACCAAGUGCAACAUUAAUAUCUUGUCUUUGGAUUUCAAUAUUAAUUGCUAGUGGUAGUCUUGUUGUAAUGAUCAAAUACUGAUAAUAAGGCAUGUCAAAUGAAAAACCCAUCUUUGGAUUGAUUUAUCAUUUACAUGUAUCACUUUAUAAUUAUCACGUAUUUACCAUUAUAAGUAUGUAUAAAAUCCUGCCAGUCAUUAACCUUCCUUUGGGCCGGAUAAUUACCGCAUGGAUGUAAAUACGCACUACAUUUAAUAUUUUCAUGAGAAAUGUUAUAUAUGAGAGGUCACUUUGGCGACUUCAUAUAUUAAAUUACUCAAUCUAAUAUUAAACAAUCACUAAUUGAAUUUAGACCAUAUUAGUCAAAUUGGCUUGAUCUUAAUUUGUUGACUAAAAUAUUUAAAACAUGUAAAUCAUUCAAUUUAUGUCAACAAACAACUUUAUAGAACCAAUACUAUGUUUAAUCCAACAUAAUAUUGCAACAAUAUUAUUAAACCAACAUAAUAUUGCAACAAUAUCUAAUUAAUUAAAUUCAUAUUAAUUAGAUAAAAUCCAAAAAGAAUUUGGAAAAUUUAUUCCUUGUAGUGCAAAAAUGAAUUUUUUGCAUAUUGAUGAAUAGGAAAAGACACGAAGUGGAAAAGAUAAUCCAAAAUUAAACUGAUAUCAUAUCAGAAAAAGGCAUUGAAUUGAAUGUGAAGCAUGCUGUAGCAUGAUUACAUAAAACCAUAAUCUUUUCCAACGAUAGAACCAAAUCACUUCAAAAUAGCAUGAUUACAUAAAACUAUCAUCUUUUCCAACGAUAAUAGAACCAAAUCACUUCAAAAUAUUGAUGAAAACAUCAUUAAAAUAUAUGAGAAAAUAAGCUUAAAUGUUCAUCAAUCAUUGUAGGAUGGCUCUGAUACCAUUUGUUGGGGUUCUUUUUAACAUAUCAAAUAUGGAUCAAAUAAUUGUUUUAUAGAAUCAAAACCGAAUAGAUCCAAAAUAAUGGAUUAAGAAUGUUUCCAUAAAACUUAUUUAAUCUACUAUAAUAUGUAUGAAAUCCUACAAUAAUUGAUAAACAUAUUAACACGGAAGCGUACCUGAUGAAUCCAUUAGAGUAUUUUCUGAAUUGAUUGGUGAUUUGGUCUUCCAAUUGCAGAGUACCUUUUGAACUUUAGAUUUCUCCUUGACGGGUGAAGAGAAACUUCAUUCGAUACUGCAACCGGGGACCAUAACCUUAUUUAUAGUCAUAACUGAUGAAUCUACAAUUAUGAUUGUAUUCAUAAUUGAUGAAUCUGCAAUUAUGCCUCAAGAGUUUCAUAUUCCUAACUUAUCUCGUCAUUAAGUUAGGAACAUGAUGGUAUCCACACAAUUAAUUUUCAUAACAAUUAUGUCCCUUAGCCAAAUAACUUUCCUUUAAUUGGAUCACUUUAAUUUUGGCUAAUCAAAAUAAUGGCUUAACACAUUUAAUUAUACAUGUGUGACCCUUAAAAUUCCAACAUGCUUGCCUAUAAAAACCUACACACCAGAUUUCUUUACCUUUAAUGAGAACAAAAAAAAAAAAGGCUGGAACAAGAAUGGUCUGUCUGUGGAGCCAUCAUUUCUUCUAUGUUGGUUGGAACUGGAGAGCCCCUUAACUUUUCUGGUAAGCAUUGCAACCAUCGUCUUGAAAAUUGGAGAACAUGUUAUUUGGGGAUGCAAAAGGCAUGAUUUCAGUUCAAUAAAUUGAUAAAGUGGCUCCUUUGCAAUGUGUGAACUCCUCUACCAGAAACACAUUUCAAGAUUUAAGAGGACCGAUUGCACGAUCAUGUAAAAUUCAAUGUUUAUGUAUUCGUCUAUCGUUCCUUUAGUUUAGUGAUGUUUGAAGGUUGCUCUACUGAUGUUUCCCUGUGGCUACAGAAAGUAGAGGGGUGGUGGUCAUGCGGGGCGAAGUUUCCUCUGGUACAAAUGACAAACUUAUCGAUGAAUUUGAUCUUGUUAACAAUCAACGCAGAGAAAAGGUUAAGGCGACUACGCUUCUUUCUGGUUUGUUUUGAAUACAAUAGCCUCUCAAGGCUAUAGUUUCAUUUUUAUUUAUGAACUAACUUCUUUUCUUGGCUUUUCAAUCUUAAGAUUCAAUUGUAAUUACGUGAUGUCUUUCCCUCUAUGACCGGUCGCAAUCAAAGAGUGGUGUGAAUAGUUUUUGUGGUCUUGGAGCAACCCUUGUGGACUCUCUCCAUGCACUAUACGUAAUGGGUCUAAAAGAUGAAUUUGAGAAGGCUAGAGAGAGGACGCUGUGACCUCCAACGACGCGGUCCACACGUGCGAGGCUAAAAUGGGCGUGGCCAGCACUUGGGCGCUGCACCCGAGUCGGGUGUGUCAGGGCCUGCAGUUGGCACGCCUUGGGGGGACCUCCUCCUCCACCACCACCACGAUGGCGUCAGGCGUACGGACGGCUGCAGCGGAGCAGGUACGGCGGCUCGUCCGCCCUUCCGUGGAAACACGGACAGGAGCAAGUGACGCGUCGGAGUCACGUGAGCCGAGAUGCGGUCCGUCGUCGGCCUCCUCGGGCAAGCCCACCACCAACCUGCUGCUGCUCGCGAUACGGCUACCUCGCGUGAAACCGACGGCGGCCGUGGGAGUAGGUGGCGUGUUGGCGUCACGUGAUGGGCGCAACAUGACUGCUACUACGUACGGUCGUAAGUGGAUCUUACCUCCCACGUGCGAGGCAGGUCUCUGAUCCAGUAUUUGGACUGCUGCAUCUACCGAAAGGGAAUGCGUCGAUGAAUGAUGGUCCAUAUUAGAAUGCGUAUAAUCCUAAUCUCUGUAUAAUUCCAAUGCAAGCAGACACAUUUGAUGCAUAACUUGCAACGUGUUCUCUUACACGAA